rnacentral:rRNA from 1 species
AUGGCUCAGAUUGAACGCUGGCGGCAGGCCUAACACAUGCAAGUCGAACGGUAACAGGAAGCAGCUUGCUGCUUUGCUGACGAGUGGCGGACGGGUGAGUAAUGUCUGGGAAACUGCCUGAUGGAGGGGGAUAACUACUGGAAACGGUAGCUAAUACCGCAUAACGUCGCAAGACCAAAGAGGGGGACCUUCGGGCCUCUUGCCAUCGGAUGUGCCCAGAUGGGAUUAGCUAGUAGGUGGGGUAACGGCUCACCUAGGCGACGAUCCCUAGCUGGUCUGAGAGGAUGACCAGCCACACUGGAACUGAGACACGGUCCAGACUCCUACGGGAGGCAGCAGUGGGGAAUAUUGCACAAUGGGCGCAAGCCUGAUGCAGCCAUGCCGCGUGUAUGAAGAAGGCCUUCGGGUUGUAAAGUACUUUCAGCGGGGAGGAAGGGAGUAAAGUUAAUACCUUUGCUCAUUGACGUUACCCGCAGAAGAAGCACCGGCUAACUCCGUGCCAGCAGCCGCGGUAAUACGGAGGGUGCAAGCGUUAAUCGGAAUUACUGGGCGUAAAGCGCACGCAGGCGGUUUGUUAAGUCAGAUGUGAAAUCCCCGGGCUCAACCUGGGAACUGCAUCUGAUACUGGCAAGCUUGAGUCUCGUAGAGGGGGGUAGAAUUCCAGGUGUAGCGGUGAAAUGCGUAGAGAUCUGGAGGAAUACCGGUGGCGAAGGCGGCCCCCUGGACGAAGACUGACGCUCAGGUGCGAAAGCGUGGGGAGCAAACAGGAUU